UGUACGGCUGCUAUACUGCAAGUAGAACGCACAGGAUGCACCGUAGUUUACUACACCGUAUUCUGUGAGUUGCGAACGGGUGAGUAACGCGUAGGUAACCUGCCUGGUAGCGGGGGAUAACUAUUGGAAACGAUAGCUAAUACCGCAUAAGAACAUUUACUGCAUGGUAGAUGUUUAAAAGGUGCAAAUGCAUCACUACCAGAUGGACCUGCGUUGUAUUAGCUAGUAGGUGAGGUAACGGCUCACCUAGGCGACGAUACAUAGCCGACCUGAGAGGGUGAUCGGCCACACUGGGACUGAGACACGGCCCAGACUCCUACGGGAGGCAGCAGUAGGGAAUCUUCGGCAAUGGGGGGAACCCUGACCGAGCAACGCCGCGUGAGUGAAGAAGGUUUUCGGAUCGUAAAGCUCUGUUGUUAAGGAAGAACGAGUGUGAGAAUGGAAAGUUCAUACUGUGACGGUACUUAACCAGAAAGGGACGGCUAACUACGUGCCAGCAGCCGCGGUAAUACGUAGGUCCCGAGCGUUGUCCGGAUUUAUUGGGCGUAAAGCGAGCGCAGGCGGUUAGAUAAGUCUGAAGUUAAAGGCAGUGGCUCAACCAUUGUAGGCUUUGGAAACUGUUUAACUUGAGUGCAGAAGGGGAGAGUGGAAUUCCAUGUGUAGCGGUGAAAUGCGUAGAUAUAUGGAGGAACACCGGUGGCGAAAGCGGCUCUCUGGUCUGUAACUGACGCUGAGGCUCGAAAGCGUGGGGAGCGAACAGGAUUAGAUACCCUGGUAGUCCACGCCGUAAACGAUGAGUGCUAGGUGUUAGGUCCUUUCCGGGACUUAGUGCCGCAGCUAACGCAUUAAGCACUCCGCCUGGGGAGUACGACCGCAAGGUUGAAACUCAAAGGAAUUGACGGGGGCCCGCACAAGCGGUGGAGCAUGUGGUUUAAUUCGAAGCAACGCGAAGAACCUUACCAGGUCUUGACAUCCCGAUGCCCGCUCUAGAGAUAGAGCUUUACUUCGGUACAUCGGGUGACAGGUGGGUGCAUGGGUUGUCGUCAGCUCGUGUCGUGAGAUGUUGGGGUUAAGUCCCCGCAACGAGCGCACCCUUAUUGUUAGUUUGCCAUUCAUCCAGUGGCACUUCUUAGCGGGGACCUGCGCGCGGUUAAAUAUAAAUCG
rnacentral:rRNA from 1 species